CACUCCCAUUAUUAAUUAAUUAUUAUUGUGUUCUUUUUUUUUUAAUUUAAAAAGUUUGAAAGUAAUUCCAGUUCUCAACCAACGUAGGUUGGUAACAUUACAUUCAACUGACGGUUCAUGCGGCUCACUACUAUGCGCGUCCACCGUUCUAUUAUGAUUCUCGUUUCUCCGGGCGCAGCGUUGCCACGAGUUACACCAUCCAGUUUGUUGGGGGUCCUUCGUCCUCAUUCCCCCAGUGAAUACAUGAGCGUUCUUCUUAUCAGUUAUCACUAUUACAUUGUUGAUUGUGUGUUCCAUUUUUUUUUUUUACUGUUUACCUUCAUAUCUCGGGAAAACUAAAUCGCAUGUAUCCGCACAUGCCGAAAAUUAAUAUGAAUUUCAUUAAAAUGUACCCACUCAAAUCGAUUUCCUUUCUGAAAGUGACUCAAGAUUUAAAACUGAUCUGAACUGCAUCCAGGAAAUUGUGUAUCAGAAAAAAUGCUCAUGGGACCACGGUGGCUAUCCAAAAAAAAUAAAAUAAAAUAUACGUACGUCGUACAUUGAAGAGAAUAACCGCAACAAAUAUGCAGCUAUCGGUUCAUAAAUAAACACCGGCUGCAUUUUGGUAUUUUUUCAGUUUUAUGACAAUUUUCUCAAAACUGGAAAAACUAAAAACUUGCUGAAGACUGGAGAAGACUGAAGAGUGCAACAUAGCACCAUAAAUAAAUAAAUAGAAAUUAAGGAUUGUAACAUUAUAUAUUUUGUUUAUUUUAAAUUGUAAGUAUAAGUUUAUAUGCAAUAAUAAUUUUUAAAUUAAUUUUAAUUGUGUGUUUUCGACGAUUUUCAAUUCGAUUUCGAAUUGGUAAAAUAAUACCAAAUAUUAUUAUGAAUAUUUUCAUUUCCAUUAUCGAAUGAUAAAUUUAAUAGAUUAUGUAUUCAUUUUUAAUUAGCCUGAAAUACUUUGAUUUAGGUAAUUGUUAAAAUUUAAAUAGGUAUGUAUGUACUUAGUUGAUCGACUGCAAGACAAUGAACCAAGACAAUUGAAUCAAAUUCUUAAAUUUUUCAUGAGAAAAUAGCAAUUUUUUGAGUUUUUAAACACUGUAAAAAAAUUGGAAAAUGAAAUUCAAAUUCUGAAAUUUGACUUGGCGAGAUAUUUUGGAUGUAUGCACUUUGAAUUUGUCCUCCUUUAGUAUUAAAAAAAAAAAAAAAAAAAAAAAAAA